UAAGAUAAUCACUUCUCAUUUUCAUCUCUCUACAUAUACAGGAACAAACCAUCUGGAGAAAGAGCUGGAAUGGAGCCCAUCAUGCUAAGCCUCCAGUGGUGCUUCACUGCUUCAGGAGGAUGCAUGGCUCAGCAGGACACACAGGGCUCAGCAGGUCACAGCCAUAGGUAAGCAACCAAAGCACCCUAGACCCCGCCACCUCUUUGAGUAAAAUUACCCAGUCAUGUCAGGCUUCUCACCUUUCCCAGAAGGAAUAGUACUUCACACACACACACACACACACAGAUGCGCGUGUACACACAUAUAUACAAACACAUUCAGACACAUAC
rnacentral:lncRNA from 1 species